rnacentral:rRNA from 1 species
CAAGUCGAACGAGAAAGUGGAGCAAUCCAUGAGUAAAGUGGCGCACGGGUGAGUAACACGUGACUAACCUACCCUGGAGUGGGGGAUAACUGAGGGAAACCUUAGCUAAUACCGCAUAACACCUACGGGUCAAAGGAGCAAUUCGCUUCAGGAGGGGGUCGCGGCCGAUUAGUUAGUUGGCAGGGUAAUGGCCUACCAAGACGAUGAUCGGUAUCCGGCCUGAGAGGGCGCACGGACACACUGGAACUGAAACACGGUCCAGACUCCUACGGGAGGCAGCAGUGGGGAAUUUUGCGCAAUGGGGGAAACCCUGACGCAGCAACGCCGCGUGGAGGAUGAAGUCCUUCGGGACGUAAACUCCUUUCGAUCGGGACGAUUAUGACGGUACCGGAAGAAGAAGCCCCGGCUAACUUCGUGCCAGCAGCCGCGGUAAUACGAGGGGGGCGAGCGUUGUUCGGAAUUAUUGGGCGUAAAGGGUGCGUAGGCGGUUUGGUAAGUCUUAUGUGAAAUCUACAGGCUCAACUUGUAGUCUGCAUGAGAAACUGCCGGGCUUGAGUAUGGGAGAGGUGAGUGGAAUUCCUGGUGUAGCGGUGAAAUGCGUAGAUAUCAGGAGGAACACCUGUGGCGAAAGCGGCUCACUGGACCAUAACUGACGCUGAUGCACGAAAGCUAGGGGAGCAAACAGGAUUAGAUACCCUGGUAGUCCUAGCCCUAAACGAUGACUGCUUGGUGUGACGGGUACCCAAUCCCGCCGUGCCGUAGCUAACGCGUUAAGCAGUCCGCCUGGGGAGUACGGUCGCAAGGCUGAAACUCAAAGGAAUUGACGGGGGCCCGCACAAGCGGUGGAGCAUGUGGUUUAAUUCGACGCA